rnacentral:lncRNA from 1 species
CUCCUUUAGGUUUUCUUUACUUUGGGAAGUUCUCUCCAAAGUUACUCAGCUCUUUCCCAAGUUUCUGAUUACUUUUUUUUUUUUUUUUUUAACACACCUGCUAGGUCUGAGGGUUCUAGUACCUCCACAGGAAAAGCUGCCCAGCAAUUUAGUCUCUGUCUCAUACAUAGGAAGAAAACCCCUUUUGGGGAGCAGUCCAAACCACAGCUCAGCUGAAGUAAGUGAUUUUAGAUUGCCCCUAUAAUAAAAACUCUUAAGCUCCUAUCAGAGACUGAUGCGGCUGCUGGUGUGCAUUCACGAAGUCCUAGGGAAAUUCCUCCUCAUCAAAAGUCUGCAUUGACUUUUAUUUACCAAAUAACAUUAGAUGCAACAUCGGGGUCAGAACGUAGUUCCAAGUGGCUUCAGGAUGACAGAGUACCUGGUGAUCACUAGGAUUUGCUUAAUAUUGCAAAGGCAAGGGGAUUGGAAGAUGAAGAUCUGGUUAUGUGGUCAGGCUUCCUCACAAAGCAAGAUCUCCUUCUCUUACACUGGUAUACUGUAAAUUGCUGGGGAAUUGCUGGGAAGGAUGACAGCGUUUUGUCACAGUUGUGAUUAAAAGACUGAAUCCUUAGGGCCCCUUUAAAUUGCCUCUCCUGUUGUCCUAAUUCAAGUAGAAUUUCAUUGUUUUCAAUGCGUGGGAGGAUUCAGGUGGAAAUGCUAGCAAGUUUCUGUUCUGUCCCAAAGAGGUAUAAAUGUGCUUCUAAAAAUGCUGUUAAAACGCAUUACGAAGGAAAGCCUUUAAUUUUAUACAAAUGGCUUGAGCAGGAAUAUGUCAUAAUUGCAAGUGAGUCGCAUGCAGUCUUUCUAGGACUUUUGCGUGUCCUGUUGGAGCAGUUCACAAGUACUGGUUUCUCUCAGACAAGGCUGGCUGCUGCAAAGAAAACUAACCUCAUCCUCAGCAAUCUGAGUUUCCUGUAAAACUAAAGCUUGAAUCUGUGAUAUUUCCUACUCCAGUUCUCCCAAGGUACAAGAGAUUUAUCAGCAAGAAGCCAGCUUUAACGUCAAAGCUCUUGUACUGUUUGUAACUGCUUUGUUUUAGGUUAAAAACUUGUGGAAGCCAGAAAUGCCAAAUGUUCACAGGAAAUAAAUAUCUUUAGUUGCGAGGAAGAACA